UUAAGCGACUAAGCGUACACGGUGGAUGCCCUGGCAGUCAGAGGCGAUGAAGGACGUGCUAAUCUGCGAAAAGCGUCGGUAAGGUGAUAUGAACCGUUAUAACCGGCGAUGUCCGAAUGGGGAAACCCAGUGCAAUUCGUUGCACUAUCGUUAACUGAAUACAUAGGUUAACGAGGCGAACCGGGGGAACUGAAACAUCUAAGUACCCCGAGGAAAAGAAAUCAACCGAGAUUCCCCCAGUAGCGGCGAGCGAACGGGGAGCAGCCCAGAGUCUGAAUCAGCUUGUGUGUUAGUGGAACGGUCUGGAAAGUCCGACGGUACAGGGUGAUAGUCCCGUACACCAAAAUGCACAGGUUGUGAACUCGAAGAGUAGGGCGGGACACGUGGUAUCCUGUCUGAAUAUGGGGGGACCAUCCUCCAAGGCUAAAUACUCCUGACUGACCGAUAGUGAACCAGUACCGUGAGGGAAAGGCGAAAAGAACCCCGGCGAGGGGAGUGAAAAAGAACCUGAAACCGUGUACGUACAAGCAGUGGGAGCACCUUCGGGUGUGACUGCGUACCUUUUGUAUAAUGGGUCAGCGACUUAUAUUCUGUAGCAAGGUUAACCGUAUAGGGGAGCCGCAGGGAAACCGAGUCUUAACUGGGCGUUAAGUUGCAGGGUAUAGACCCGAAACCCGGUGAUCUAGCCAUGGGCAGGUUGAAGGUUGGGUAACACUAACUGGAGGACCGAACCGACUAAUGUUGAAAAAUUAGCGGAUGACUUGUGGCUGGGGGUGAAAGGCCAAUCAAACCGGGAGAUAGCUGGUUCUCCCCGAAAGCUAUUUAGGUAGCGCCUCGUGAAUUCAUCUUCGGGGGUAGAGCACUGUUUCGGCUAGGGGGUCAUCCCGACUUACCAACCCGAUGCAAACUACGAAUACCGAAGAAUGUUAUCACGGGAGACACACGGCGGGUGCUAACGUCCGUCGUGAAGAGGGAAACAACCCAGACCGCCAGCUAAGGUCCCAAAGUCAUGGUUAAGUGGGAAACGAUGUGGGAAGGCACAGACAGCCAGGAUGUUGGCUUAGAAGCAGCCAUCAUUUAAAGAAAGCGUAAUAGCUCACUGGUCGAGUCGGCCUGCGCGGAAGAUGUAACGGGGCUAAACCAUGCACCGAAGCUGCGGCAGCGACACUAUGUGUUGUUGGGUAGGGGAGCGUUCUGUAAGCCUGCGAAGGUGACCUGUGAGGGUUGCUGGAGGUAUCAGAAGUGCGAAUGCUGACAUAAGUAACGAUAAAGCGGGUGAAAAGCCCGCUCGCCGGAAGACCAAGGGUUCCUGUCCAACGUUAAUCGGGGCAGGGUGAGUCGACCCCUAAGGCGAGGCCGAAAGGCGUAGUCGAUGGGAAACAGGUUAAUAUUCCUGUACUUGGUGUUACUGCGAAGGGGGGACGGAGAAGGCUAUGUUAGCCGGGCGACGGUUGUCCCGGUUUAAGCAUGUAGGCUGAUUGUCCAGGCAAAUCCGGAUAAUCAAGGCUGAGGUGUGAUGACGAGGCACUACGGUGCUGAAGUAACAAAUGCCCUGCUUCCAGGAAAAGCCUCUAAGCAUCAGGUAACAUCAAAUCGUACCCCAAACCGACACAGGUGGUCAGGUAGAGAAUACCAAGGCGCUUGAGAGAACUCGGGUGAAGGAACUAGGCAAAAUGGUGCCGUAACUUCGGGAGAAGGCACGCUGGUGUGUAGGUGAAGCCCCUGCGGGUGGAGCUGAGACCAGUCGAAGAUACCAGCUGGCUGCAACUGUUUAUUAAAAACACAGCACUGUGCAAACACGAAAGUGGACGUAUACGGUGUGACGCCUGCCCGGUGCCGGAAGGUUAAUUGAUGGGGUUAUCCGUAAGGAGAAGCUCUUGAUCGAAGCCCCGGUAAACGGCGGCCGUAACUAUAACGGUCCUAAGGUAGCGAAAUUCCUUGUCGGGUAAGUUCCGACCUGCACGAAUGGCGUAAUGAUGGCCAGGCUGUCUCCACCCGAGACUCAGUGAAAUUGAACUCGCUGUGAAGAUGCAGUGUACCCGCGGCAAGACGGAAAGACCCCGUGAACCUUUACUAUAGCUUGACACUGAACAUUGAGCCUUGAUGUGUAGGAUAGGUGGGAGGCUUUGAAGCGUGGACGCCAGUCUGCGUGGAGCCAACCUUGAAAUACCACCCUUUAAUGUUUGAUGUUCUAACGUUGGCCCCUGACCGGGGUUGCGGACAGUGUCUGGUGGGUAGUUUGACUGGGGCGGUCUCCUCCUAAAGCGUAACGGAGGAGCACGAAGGUUAGCUAAUCCUGGUCGGACAUCAGGAGGUUAGUGCAAUGGCAUAAGCUAGCUUGACUGCGAGCGUGACGGCGCGAGCAGGUGCGAAAGCAGGUCAUAGUGAUCCGGUGGUUCUGAAUGGAAGGGCCAUCGCUCAACGGAUAAAAGGUACUCCGGGGAUAACAGGCUGAUACCGCCCAAGAGUUCAUAUCGACGGCGGUGUUUGGCACCUCGAUGUCGGCUCAUCACAUCCUGGGGCUGAAGUAGGUCCCAAGGGUAUGGCUGUUCGCCAUUUAAAGUGGUACGCGAGCUGGGUUUAGAACGUCGUGAGACAGUUCGGUCCCUAUCUGCCGUGGGCGCUGGAGAAUUGAGGGGGGCUGCUCCUAGUACGAGAGGACCGGAGUGGACGCAUCACUGGUGUUCGGGUUGUCAUGCCAAUGGCACUGCCCGGUAGCUAAAUGCGGAAGAGAUAAGUGCUGAAAGCAUCUAAGCACGAAACUUGCCCCGAGAUGAGUUCUCCCUGAGACUUUAAGUCUCCUGAAGGAACGUUGAAGACGACGACGUUGAUAGGCCGGGUGUGUAAGCGCAGCGAUGCGUUGAGCUAACCGGUACUAAUGAACCGUGAGGCUUAACCUU
rnacentral:rRNA from 1 species